AUUGAACGCUGGCGGCAGGCCUAACACAUGCAAGUCGAGCGGAUGAAGGGAGCUUGCUCCUGGAUUCAGCGGCGGACGGGUGAGUAAUGCCUAGGAAUCUGCCUGGUAGUGGGGGAUAACGUCCGGAAACGGGCGCUAAUACCGCAUACGUCCUGAGGGAGAAAGCGGGGGAUCUUCGGACCUCACGCUAUCAGAUGAGCCUAGGUCGGAUUAGCUAGUUGGUGGGGUAAAGGCCUACCAAGGCGACGAUCCGUAACUGGUCUGAGAGGAUGAUCAGUCACACUGGAACUGAGACACGGUCCAGACUCCUACGGGAGGCAGCAGUGGGGAAUAUUGGACAAUGGGCGAAAGCCUGAUCCAGCCAUGCCGCGUGUGUGAAGAAGGUCUUCGGAUUGUAAAGCACUUUAAGUUGGGAGGAAGGGCAGUAAGUUAAUACCUUGCCGUUUUGACGUUACCAACAGAAUAAGCACCGGCUAACUUCGUG
rnacentral:rRNA from 1 species